UACAGAGGGGGCAAGCGUUGUUCGGAAUUACUGGGCGUAAAGGGCGCGUAGGCGGCCUGUUAAGUCGAACGUGAAAUCCCCGGGCUCAACCCGGGAACUGCGUCCGAUACUGGCAGGCUUGAAUUCGGGAGAGGGAUGUGGAAUUCCAGGUGUAGCGGUGAAAUGCGUAGAUAUCUGGAGGAACACCGGUGGCGAAGGCGGCAUCCUGGACCGGUAUUGACACUGAGGCGCGAAAGCCAGGGGAGCAAACGGG
rnacentral:rRNA from 1 species